AAUCGCCUCUCUGGGUCAACCGCUCGGAGGAGAGAUCUCCCGUCGUGCAGGAACAGCUGCCGCGCCAGCAAAGGGACGUGCGGGAGCCACGGCCACGGAAGCUCUGCGCCGUGGUUUUCCCCUCCCAGACAGAGAUUGGGAAAGUGCAGUCCAUUGUUCCCGGGUCUUUAGAGGUUGCUUUACUCGGUCGCCUCAUUUCCAUAACGCUCCCUGGCCUCCCAGUAGCCCACUUUGGUUUGAUGAAUACAGUUCUGUCUGGUUUAGGAUUCACUAUUCCCCACGUCCCAACCUCUCGGUUUUGUACUAGGUAAUCUCGGUCCCUGUGCAGAAAGAUCCUGCUGGAGCCUUAAUUAAAAACUGUGGGCACAAAAUAAAAGCAUUUUCCUUUGCUCCUCUGUGUGCCAGCCGCAUACUGCUGCCUGCCUUUCUGUUUCAGCUGAAAAUGAACAGGAGGGAAGAAGACGUCACAGCCUGUAGCUCUGGGAUAGGCAGUAGCAUGACUUGGGAGAAUGGGGGAGGAGGCUCCUUUGCAUCUGAAAAAACCUGGACCCAUGUAAAAUAUAAAAUUCAGAGUGGAGAGAGUAAGAGAGAGUGAACAAGUUCUUCCUUCUCCACCCUCCCAUCCCCAGGCUCUUGGUAGUCCAGGGGAGAGUGAGGAACCACAGAUAGGAGCCACAAAAAAAAAGUAUAGUCUCUUCUGGGAACUUUUGCUUCAUGUUGAAGCUGAGGUACUGCAUGCCUACAUGAGCUUCUUUCAUUCAUCCAUGCUCCUCCGGUCACCCUGCCAUUGCUGUCUGGGAAAUGUUCUGUGGCAUAAAUCUGCUCCUCAGGGCGUGUUGGUAUCAGCACAUCAGCUCUGCUACACAACACAAAGAGAAGAGAAAUGAGAUUAUGGUUAAUAAAUUUCAGCAAAUGACAUGAAAGCUGCAAUCUUAAUUUAGGCCUAAAGAUCCGAAAGGACUAAUUCAGCAGUGGCAGAAUCUUCUUUUGUGUGUUCUGUGCACAACAUAGAAUCAUAGAAUCAUUUAGGUUGGAAAAGACCUUUAAGAUCAUCAAGUCCAACUCUAAACCUAGCACUGCCAAGUCCACCACGAAACCAUAUCCCUAAGCACCACGUCCACACAUCUUUUAAAUAGCUCCAGGGAUGGUGACUCAACCACUUCCCUGGGCAGCCUGUUCAUGUUCAGAGCUCUGCCGUCCUGCACCUGAGUAGAUGUACUUCUGUACCACAGAUUACAUGGUGCUUAAAAUGAUUAUGGGGAGGAGAAAAAAACCACUGGCCUGCAACACAGAGACGUUUUCUUCAGUCCGUGUUAGUGUGCGUACAGCGAAGGUGAGUGCAGCGCUCUGACCUCAAUGGGCGCUGUUGGGUAGUAAAGACAAAAUGCUACAAAAGCCAAACACAUUUUUGAGACACUAAAUCCCACUUCCCCCUUCUGCCCUAGAGGAACCAGGCAUCUGCAAUGGUGAUGAGGAAUUGCAAAAGAGCAUUUCUGUGUAGGAAAGUAUGUAUGCAGGCUAAACUGGUGCUCGGAUGGUGGCUCUCCUGCUCUGAGUGCCUGCUGCACCUCCUUUCUCCCUCCGUGCUCUAGCAGACGAGAGGUAACGCUGUGCUGCACACCUUGCAGGAGCAGCUCACAUAGCUCUGGUAACAUUGACAAAUCACGGGUUAUGAUGCAGCAUCUACCUCUGUAGGAAGGAGAGCUAGCCAUAUAGCCAUAUUCCCUGGCUCCUGGCCAGUUUAUCCCAGAUUA